GUAUGAAAUUUUCCCUUCGCCGGGUAUGAAAUUUUCCCUUCGAUUCGUUUUUGCUAGGUUUUACGCUCUUGUUCUUUACCUGGUUUUUAUUCCCCGUCUACGUACGUCAGGGAUGUACUGUAAAAGUGAGAUUUAAUGGGCCAAAUUAGCAACCAUAACCGACCGACCGAGCUAGCUCGUUCUCUCGCUAAAUCGUUCGCUUGUCUAGGUCGUUUAUGUGCGAAAUACAGGGUGUCUAACUAUCUGGCUAGAUGACAUUAAAACGAUUGAUUAAUGUGCCCAGGUAGCUUGCAUGCUCGUCUGGAGUGGUGCUUUACAACUCUAGAUCGACCGUGUUGCUGUAUUGUAUGUAUUGCAGACGCCCCGCGGUGUACGCGUUGAUUGUAAGUGUUCACUAAGCCCCAUCCCCAGCUCCUUUACGUGGACCAUGACUGCUGUUCCAGCGUGGGCAAGGGCAAGGCAGCUGCCAUGUUCCACGAGUGAGACCAGCUGCUCGUCAGGCUGGACGUGUGGCAGUUCAUGCUAAGGUGUCACCACGGACAGUCACCAUCUGUACGGCCUCUUCAUGGGCCGCCUCUGCUUCUGCGUCUUCGAGUGGGACGCGGAGGAUGUGGCCUGUCUAUAGGAGGCCAAGCUGACUGACUGACGCCGGGUCUUCUGGCAGACCCACCGCCAAGGAGCUGGCUCGGUGCUGUCGCCGCCACACGCGCUGGGCCCAGAAGACCGAGCUGCUUAUCCAGGAGCUGCUGGAAGACUACAUGGAUGUGACAGACACCACGGGCGUCAGGCUUCUUCACGGUGAGAAGAUGGAGGACAUCUGGCCUCUGAUGGAGGCCACCUCCACUGCAUUCAGGACCCUCCUAGUGUUCAGCUGUACAGGAGGGUGGGACAGGUGACUAGGGGAGGUGUCGUCCUGACCGUUUAUCGCUGUGCUUGCGGUUCCACUUUCCUGGAGUCAUUCCACCUGCACCUGAACCGCUUUGUACCUGGUACAAGUGCGAGUGCUCUGCACUUCCAGGCGUACCUGCUUGAAGGGUUGGUGAGGUGGAAUGAGGUCCUCACGGCAGCAGCAGUGCAGCGAAGCGAUCUUACUCGGGUCUGCUACAGCAGCCAGCCAACCAGCAACUCCUUGGGCUCCAGCUGGCUAAGUAUACAGCUGCUUCCUUGGACAAGGCAGUGGGCCUGCUCAGUGGCCCAGCGUCAGCCGCCUUGUCCAGGCCGUGUGCUUGGCGCUUUGUCGGCUUCACCCGGCCGGUCAGACCAUUGCUGACCAUCGCUGGGCUGGUGGGCUGAACAGGUGGGCUGCCAUCAGGAGGGACUGUGGUGUCAUCAGGGACGUAGUCUUCGGCAGCCCCAGCCCCAUGGCCCGGACCCGUAUUCAACUUUUUGAGUUGAAUCAGCGGACACUGACCCAGUGAGGUACAACGCCAGCAAGAAAAAGCAGGAACAAGAUGUUCUGCGCCUGAGCGUUGGCCAGUCCAGCACUCCCAUGGUGGCCCUCCCACGCUGAGUAAGCUCCCAGAGCGUCUGACUCACAGGCACCCUGCCCUUGACUUUAACAUCCAGCAGGAUGCAUGAACACUAUGCCUGCAAACAGUGUGGCCAACCCAAGACCAAAGAGUUUGGACACAGCAGGUUUCGUGGGGUGCACUUCUGCACGGCAGCAGCAGGGAAGACCAUGGCGCAAUGGAUGGAGGAGAUGGAGAGGAGAUGCUGGACAAGGUCAGUGAUCUGCUGACCACCCCAUUCACCCCACUGUAGUUGUACAUAGUUUUAUAUUUAUUCCUAUUUUCAUUAUUUAUUCUAUUUUAUAAUCAUUUUUACUU